CAAAGUCAUCCAGAGGCAGGGAAAUGGAAACACAAAUAUAGAAAUAGAUAUAGAAUGGCCUUGAGACAUCGGAUGUCCCUCUCACCUCGUAUCCUUUUCUGUGUUCAUAUACAGGUGGAAGAAAUAUCACUAUUUUGAAACUUCUUCUCCACCAUUUCUGUGGUCUCCUGGCACUCGAAACUUGGGAGCAAACGCAAGCGCAAGAGGAUGGAUUUCCUAUCUACCCUCAACCUAUGAAACGAGGUAAUUCAGGCACCAAUCAGUUUAUAGAUUAAAUCUAUUGAGAGAACUAGGUAAACAUUUGAAGGAGAUCCAAGUAUUGGGUAUUAAUUAUAAACACACAAUGACUUCAGCUGAGAAUGGAGAGUCCAACUAUGAAAUCCAAGAGGAUCUGGAGAGAGAAACAACAGGAACCAGAAUGAGGCUUAUGGAUUACAUCCCCAUCUACAUUCCAACAGUUGAAAAGGGACUCCUCAAUCAAAGCCGGCAUGAGAAAAGAUUUCUAGAUUUCCUAAGAGCCCAUCCAUCCAAAGAUUGGUUCAUUAGGUCUGGAUUUGUUGGUAGACUGUCUCCUUUCUCCUUCUUAAGGCGAAAUGGAAGUCCAGGAAAUGAGUCCUCUCCUUCUGAUCCAGCUCAUGGCAGCACCCGACGACGUUUCCGUGUGCCAUUCGUCAGAAAAAUUAACUGGGCAGCUUUGAUCGCAUACUUCAAGAACUGGGUAAAGAAUCCUGCGAACAUGGCUCUUCUUGUUUGGUUGAUCUUUGUUGCUGCAGGCCUCAUCAUGCUUGGUCUGCUCAUGCUUGGAAUACUAGAUGGAGCAAUACCAAGUAGCUCCCAAAGAAAGAGAUGGACCGAAGUCGUCAAUCAAAUACUAAAUGCACUCUUUACAAUUAUGUGUUUAUAUCAACAUCCAAAAUUGUUCCACCAGCUAGUUCUUCUGUUCAGGUGGAGAACGCCCGACAAGGUGGAGCUAAGGAGAGUCUACUGCAAGGAUGGAGCACAGCGACCUCACGAAAGGGCUCAUAUGACGCUAGUUGUGAUCCUCCUCCAUAUCACUUGCUUUGCUCAGUAUGUCUUGUGUGGUCUUUACUGGGGAUACACAAGAAAGACCCGACCGGACUGGGCUGAAAAUCUCUGCAUUGGUAUAGGAAUUGCAGCACCAGUUAUUGCUGGUGUGUAUACUGUUUUUAGCCCUUUAGGUCGAAGAUAUGAUGAGUCCGAAACCGAAGAAGAAUCGCAGCAUCAGGCAGCCACCACUACCCAACCAAAUGACACUGAGCUGAAGAUAUUUAACCGAAGGGUUGUGGUAACUAGUCCGGAGUGGAUUGGGGGACUAUUUGAUUGCUGGGAUGACCUCACUGUGUGUUAUCUUUCCUUCUUCUGUACCUUCUGUGUCUUUGGGUGGAAUAUGGAAAGGCUGGGGUUUGGCAAUAUGUAUGUUCAUAUGGUCACUUUUAUAUUACUCAUCAUUGCUCCUUUCUGGGUCUUUAAUGUUUCUGCCCUCAAUGUUGAUGAUGAUACUAUUAGAUACAUAGUGGCGAUAUCUGGCAUCGUGCUGUGUUUCUUUGGGCUACUCUAUGGAGGAUUUUGGAGGAUUCAGAUGAGGAAGAGGUACAAACUUCCAGCCAAUCCUUUCUGUUGUGGCUUUCCAUCAGUGACAGAUUGUAUGCAGUGGCUCUUCUGCUGGUCAUGCUCACUAGCUCAGGAGGUGAGGACAGGAAAUUUUUAUGAUAUUGAGGAUGAUAGCUUUUAUCAGAAGGUCACCGAUGAGGGCGGUCGGCCGGUCUUGGUUCCUUUGCCCCGGGAAGGAGGGUCCGGAAUGUUGAUCACAUCGAGCAUGGAUUACCCUCUUCGUAGCUACUCUUGCCCACCCAAAAUUGAGCCAGCUGAUCUACAAAUGUCUGGUGAUAUAUUGAAGAAUGGCAGUCAAGAUGGGAUUUCAAUUACCAUUGAGAGAUCAUCUACAUGUGGGAAGGAUUAUGCAAUGAGACCACCUCUUCCACCACUAAUUCAACUGGAAGACAGCUAGCUUCAGAAGAAAUAGUAGUAUUGGAAGCAAAUGGUUGCGCAAAAACAUCAAAGUUAGCUCCUAUUUGAGGAUUCUCGAACAGGACAGGUUCUUAGGACAGAACGUAGGGAUAAUCGCCUAUUUGCUCUCACUUGCCUCGAUGUACCCUUGUUUGUGCCUCCAGUUGUCUCUGCUGCAUCUACUACCUCCACAUCCCUCAAUCGCUGGCAUUCUUGCUUUGGUCAUGUCUCUUUUAGUUUUCUUCGUUCUUUGAUUUCUAACGGUCAAUUAUGAUCUGUCCACAAUGAUACUACUCAAUGUAUGUUUUGUCAAUUAUCAAAACAACCUGCUUUAUCUUUUAAUAACAGUGAUUCG